GUUCUUGCUUUGGCAGCACUUAUACUAAAAUUGGAACGAUACAGAGAAGAUUAGCAUGGCCCCUGCGCAAGGAUGACACAAAAUAAAAGGCAGGGUAAAUCCACAUAC
ensembl:snRNA U6 U6 spliceosomal RNA